rnacentral:tRNA from 1 species
GGGCUCGUGGUUUAGUGUAUAAUACUCCCUUAGCAGCACCGUGAUUGGGAGUGGUCCGGGGUUCGAUUCCCCGCGAGUCCA